CUUCUUCCCUUCUCCUCUCUCACGUUUCUUUAAUUCCUCCAUGGGAGUUUUCUUCAAGCUUCCAUAACUUUCUCUCUUUAGCUCCAAUUUUCAUGCUUUUGGUGUACUCUUCCAUAAACCCUUAUGCUCUUUCAUCCUCUCACUUUAAAACCAUUCAAAAAUCUGGUUUUCAUACUUUCUCUCACUAGUUGGAUGUUCUAGAGAGAGAAAUAAAGAAUUACCCCAUUGAUUAGAAAGCAAUUGGAAGAGAAUUUGACUACAAAAGAGCCCUAGGGUAAGUGAUGAACUAAGCUCAAUUUUUAGCUAUAGAAAAUGGCUAGUAAUUGGGAUUUAUGAGCUAUUUUAUUGUUGACUAUGUUCAUUACUUUUUAGUGAUUAAGAUAGUGAACAUAGAUAGCCAUUUAAUGUGGCAAUUGAAAGCUAGCUAAGAGAUAGCUUUUAGGGUUCAUAGUGUGUAAAUUGACCUAUUGAUUAUACCAAUGUGAUCCUAGGUUCUAAGGAAGCCCCAUCAUCUCAUUGGACAAUUAGAGGAAUUGGAGUCAUCUAAAGGCUCUACAAUCAAUUGGUAAGUGGAUUGCCUAUCAAAAUUGUUUUGGGAAUAUGACUGUUUUGAACAAAAUGUUUGAAUGAUUUUAUACAACUUUUCUAAAAAAUGAAUGCCUUGGGAACAAGCUCUUGAGAAAUGGUUUAUGUUAUGAUAUGUAGUUAUUAUGGAUUUCUAUGUGGCUACAUUAUGUUGAUAUACAUAUAUGCUCAAAUAUAAUGUUGUGUAAUUAUAUUGACUCGGCUAUGUGCGAGUAGGGAGUGCGUAUAAGCCGAAGAUGACCAGAUUAUGUGCGAGUAGAGAGUGCGCAUAACCUGGUGAUGACCCAGCCAUGUGCGAGUAGGGAGUGCGCAUGAGCUGGUGAUGAUGAUGAUGGGAUGGUGUGCAUGAUGGUGAUGGGUAUAUGUAUAUGUAUACAUACGUAAACAUGUGUGUUAUAAGAAAUUUAUAAGUUAUGUAUAUGGAUGUAAUGUAUGUGAAAUUCGGUAUGUUAAACUUUGGGAAGUUGUUAUGUAUUUCUUAUUGGUUUUGAACAUUUCAAGCAAGGUGGUUUUCUUUGGGAGAAAAGGAAAUUUUCAUUUAGUGCCCUGUAUUUCGCUGCAGCAAGAAUCAAUUUCGCUGCAACGAGAAAUUCUCAGGUUUGAAAACCUUCACCAGAACUGGUUCUCGCUCCAGUGAGAAUGUAUUUCGCUGUAGCGAGAUAGUCACUGCAGCUUCUAGCUGUAGCGAAAAGGAAUCUCGCUGCAGCAAGAAACUCUCUGUUUCAUCAGUUGAAUUUCGCUGCAGCAAGAAACCUUCUAUUUCUAGGUUAUAAUUUCGCUGUAGUGAGAAAGAAUCUCGUUGCAGCAAAAAACUUUCUAUUUUGGUCUCCUAUCUUGUCCAAUUGCUACCCUAUCUUUCACUUCUUUGCUACCAUAUUAGAGCAUAGACUUCCAACAUUAAGGAUUAAAUGAGUUAAGUUUAAAAUGGGGAGGUUUAGUGAGAAACCCUCGGCCAGUUGAGAAACCCUCAUUCGGCUAAUAACUAAAUCCCAACGUCACUGCAACGAAAAUUCAUUUUCGCUGCAGCGAAGAUUUGUUGUCGUAUUUGACUUACUUGUGUAAUAUUGAAGCUUUCAUUCUUCAAAUGGUUCGUUAUGUAUGGGUUAAUGAUUUUUAAAUGAUUAAUCAUUUAAGGCUUGAUGAGGGGUUUUUAAUAAGAAUAGAAAUAAAUUGCAUUGCUUUGAAAAAGAAUGCAUCAUGAUUUCAUUAAAGAUUCCUUAUGGUAUGCUUGUUCCCUUUCUUGUUCACUCACUAGGUUUAUACUCACCAUUUUCAACUUCAUGUUUUCAGAUCACGAGGCAGUCGGUAUCUAGGACGAGUUGUCCUUGUAGACUUAUACCCAUCUUUUGGUAGGUGUCUCGGCAUUUAGUAGCUGUACAUUGGUCUGAGUCCCUCCGCUGGAAAUUGAGUCUUCUUUUUGAGAUGUAUAGACAAACUUGAUGUAAAUUAUUAAGAUACAUGCUGUAGACAAUGUAUGUAUAUUUUAA
rnacentral:lncRNA from 1 species